rnacentral:rRNA from 1 species
GACGAACGCUGGCGGCGUGCUUAACACAUGCAAGUCGAACGGUAAGGCCCUGCUUUUGUGGGGUGCUCGAGUGGCGAACGGGUGAGUAACACGUGAGUAACCUGCCCUUGACUUUGGGAUAACUUCAGGAAACUGGGGCUAAUACCGGAUAGGAGCUCCUGCUGCAUGGUGGGGGUUGGAAAGUUUCGGCGGUUGGGGAUGGACUCGCGGCUUAUCAGCUUGUUGGUGGGGUAGUGGCUUACCAAGGCUUUGACGGGUAGCCGGCCUGAGAGGGUGACCGGCCACAUUGGGACUGAGAUACGGCCCAGACUCCUACGGGAGGCAGCAGUGGGGAAUAGUGCACAAUGGGCGGAAGCCUGAUGCAGCAACGCCGCGUGCGGGAUGACGGCCGUCGGGUUGUAAACCGCUUUCGCCUGUGACGAAGCGUGAGUGACGGUAAUGGGUAAAGAAGCAACGGCUAACUACGUG